rfam:Gossypium raimondii chromosome 12, whole genome shotgun sequence.
AAACCAUGCAUUGGGGAUUUUCUAAUUAACUCCUUGAAUCGUUCCCAUGCUUCAUAUAAUGUUUCAUCCUCAGAUUGCCAAAAAGACGUAAUAUCGUUCCUUAAUUA